AGUCGUAACAAGGUUUCCGUAGGUGAACCUGCGGAAGGAUCAUUGUCGUGACCCUGACCAAAACAGACCGCGCACGAGUUAUCUAGCCCGCUGGGCGGCGGCAUCGUCCGUCGCUUGGCAAAAGUCCUCGACAACCUCAUCUUUUCGGAGUUGGGGCUCGGGGUAAAAGAACCCACGGCGCCGUAGGCGUCAAGGAACACUCUGCCUAACGAGGGGAUGUGGCUGGCUUGCUAGCCGCACCCCGAGUUGCAAUUCUAUAUAAUCCACACGACUCUCGGCAACGGAUAUCUCGGCUCUC
rnacentral:misc_RNA from 1 species